rnacentral:rRNA from 1 species
CAGCAGCCGCGGGAAUACAGAGGGUGCAAGCGUUAAUCGGAUUUACUGGGCGUAAAGGGCGCGUAGGUGGUUAUGUAAGUGAGAUGUGAAAUCCCCGGGCUCAACCUGGGAACUGCAUCUUAUACUGCGUAGCUGGAGUGCAGUAGAGGGUAGUGGAAUUUCCGGUGUAGCGGUGAAAUGCGUAGAUAUCGGAAGGAACACCAGUGGCGAAGGCGGCUACCUGGACUGACACUGACGCUGAGGAGCGAAAGCGUGGGGAGCGAACAGGAUUAGAUACCCCGGUAGUCCCUGUCUCUUAUAC